GGAAAAAGCACCAACCUGGGUUCAGUGUUGGAUAGUACAGACUGUUUAGGGGGGUUUCCUUCUCUGCAAAGUGGAAGUUGGAGUGCUCUUAUGCAGUCUGCUGUAGCAGAAACAUCCAGUAAUGAUAUAAGGGCAGAGGAAGAGUGGAGUGGUUUAGGUUUGCAGAAUUGUGAACCUCCAAGUGGGAGCAAUCCAGCGUCAAUUGUCAAUGAUGGCAGCGAAAUGCAAUCCCCCUGGACUGAUGACAAUUUGCACAAUGCCUUGACUCUGAGCUCUAAACCUUUACCCAUCUCUAUUAAUGCCAAUAACAACCUUGACUUUUUAGUGUUCCUGGGGUUCAGCAAUUAGGAGCCCAGACUGCAAAUGACAUACCAGGAGAAUGCAAAACAAUUCUCCUCGUAGAUUUGUUAAACAGUCAACAGAAGAGCGAAGCAAAUGGUAUAUCAGAGUCCUCUACAGAAGCAUGCAGCUGAAAGUGCUCAACUCCUGGGGAAUAUUGCUCAGAGUCCUGAUCAAGUAAGUGCAAACAGCAUUUCAAGUCCCCAAGGAAUAGCUGCAUAUGAUCCUUGUGGUCAGACUCACAAUAAGCCAAACAGCUGGAACUUAAUUCAGUCUGCAUCACGUGGUGGUGGUGCCAUAUCAAAAAGUCAAGAUAAUGAAAGCUUAUUGCAACUUUCUCAGAAUAAUGAUCACAGAGGUUCUAUGUAUGUGAGAGGUCAUGGUUCUGCUUUUGAUUGUUGAUCCUUAUUCUAAUAUUGAAUCACUGAAUGUGAAUUCCAGCUUGGGAAGCCCAGAGGUGAAUAGGAAAGGUUUUGAUCAGGACAAUGUUGCUUCAAUAACAGAUUCAACAACGAAAAGGACCACCAAGGAGAGUAACCAUCAACUUCCCCACAACCUAAUCUUACUCUCUGGAGAAGUGUUGAUUCUAAUGUAACUCUGGACUAACUGGGGUGCCAGCAGAAUAUCAGCAAAAUCUGGAUAAGAGCCCUCAAACCUUAGGUUCAUCUGGAAAUAAUUACAAGGACAAGGGAGUGCCUGUAACAAUAUGGAGAAUCUUAAUGUAAAAGAAAAUUCUAAUGACAGUAUUCGCUCUAACUUAUCCCAGCAUACUUCCACCAGUGGCAUUGGACAAUGUCUGGCUGGAUGCAAAUGAUCCACUGAGAGGAAAACAGAAGUCAUCCAUUCAAGUUAGCCAUAAACCUUGCAUAACCCGUAAAUUUCAGUAUCAUCCUAUGGGGGAUCUGGAUACAAAGGUUGAACCUUCUUAUGGAACUAAGAGUGUUACACAUAUUCAGGCAAUACCCAAUGUUUCCGAAGGAUCGGAAGUUCACGACCAAGGAUAUUUGUUCAGUCAAAAUAUACUUGUCAUGCUGCUGGAAAGUCUACAGGCACUGAUAAGGGCAUUCAAGUAGACAAGGUACUUUCCAAAAGUUCAAAUCCUGAUUCUGCACCUGAGAGGCCUUUUGGCGGUUUUGUGCCGAACAAGAUAGCUCCAGUUAGUGAAAAUAUGUUGGAAACUUCUUCAAAAAGUUGAGCGAAGAGCAUGGCACUGCAACACACUUGAGCUCUUCUGAGCACAAUCAAUCAUCUGAAAUGCCAGUUGCAGAAACUUCUGAUGGAUCAGUGGGACAGUUUGAGUAAUAAGCCUUCUGCAUCUCUGGGUUUUGGUUUAAAAACUUGGUCCUCCAUCUCGAGGUUUACCAUUCCGGAUUGUGUAAUGCAAGGAGUUAAUUCUUUAAAUUCAGUUCAUGACUCUUCUGAGGUAGUAGGAAGGAUCAUACAUGGUUGGGUCCAAUGGCUUCUAUUCAGUCCUCAACUGAUGGAACAUCCCAUGAAGAUAUUGAAUAAUGUUUCAAGUGUUCUGGUCUAGCCAGCAAUAAAGGCUCACAAUAUAAUAUUCAGGAAAAUGUUUCAGUUGGUUUUACCUCUGAUACGUUAUUUAAAAAGACAUCUUCAAAGCCAGCAUGUUAUUGGCGCAAGUGGACAAGUAACACCCGAUGAAUCAGUCAAUGCACCUUUUGAGGGUUGGCAUCUCAUUUGAAGUGGAUUGAUGGCUCUUCUGAGAGAGCUCAAACUAUUCAAUUGGGAAUGAAUCAGCAACAUCAUAUACCCACAACUUCUCCAGACGAUGAUUUCUCUUCUUCAGAGACUUCUUUCCCAAGUAGUAGGUCUGGCAACCAAAACCAUGCACGGGAUCCAGGCCCAGGUUCCAGUGUUGGAGGCUAUGCCAGCUUCCCACCUUCUGCUACUGCUGAAUCUUCUCAGCAAGGUGCUUUUACGAAAAUGCCCAAUGUAUUAACAAGUGUCUCAUCCCCAGAACAUUAUUAGGAGCUAAGUUUUCUCCAGCCUCACAGAAUUUGUCGGAUCCCCGUAGUAACUCAGAAACAAAUCUUCCUGGAACAGAGAAGCUAGAUUGUCAAAUUGCUCAGGCAGGAAACAGUGGCCUCUCUGAGUUCUCUGCUGCUGUGUUAAACCACAAAGCCUUAUUGGAGAAGAACAACCAACAAGCAGGAGAAUAAUGCCAUCCAAAACCCGCAAGUAUGCAAAGUGACAUUGAAGCUUUGGCCGUUCUUUAAGACCAGAUAAUUUUGUACAUCAGAACUAUUCCUUGUUGCAUCAGGUGCAGGCCAUGAAAAAUACAGAGGUUGAUCCUGGUAAUAGGGGUGUUAAAAAUUUAAAGGUCCACCUCCAGACUCUGGAUUGGAUUGUCAGCAGUUAAGUUCCCAUGGUGCAGAGCAGCUAUCUUCUGGAUCCAAUUCUAUGAUGAGAGAUGCCCUGGUUGGUCAUCUUUUAGUUCCUUCUGGAGAUUCUAAAAUGCUAAGCUCUUUAUCUAAAACUGGAGAUAACCAUGAGACACGGUUAUCUUCUAAUAGUCCGCUACCAUUUGUUCGGAAAGAUUCCCAACAUUUCUCCAAUUCUAAUAAUUCAGCUGCUGAUGUCAGUGGUGAACACUCUCGGAUCAGUCCCCAGAUGGCUCCAUCCUGGUUUGAUCGGUAUGGAGCAAUUAAAAAUGGGAAAAUGUUGCCCAUAUAUGAUACUCG